rnacentral:rRNA from 1 species
GAUGAACGCUGGCGGCGUGCCUAAUACAUGCAAGUCGAGCGAACAGAUGAGGAGCUUGCUCCUCUGACGUUAGCGGCGGACGGGUGAGUAACACGUGGAUAACCUACCUAUAAGACUGGGAUAACUUCGGGAAACCGGAGCUAAUACCGUAUAAUAUAUUGAACCGCAUGGUUCAAUAGUGAAAGACGGUUUUGCUGUCACUUAUAGAUGGAUCCGCGCCGCAUUAGCUAGUUGGUAAGGUAACGGCUUACCAAGGCAACGAUGCGUAGCCGACCGGUGAGGGUGAUCGGCCACCCGGGAACUGGACCACGGUCCAGACUCCUAAGGGAGGCAGCAGUAGGGAAUCUUACGCAAUGGGCGAAAGCCUGACGGAACAACGCCGCGUGAGUGAUGAAGGUCUUCGGAUCGUAAAACUCUGUUAUUAGGGAAGAACAAAUGUGUAAGUAACUGUGCACGUCUUGACGGUACCUAAUCAGAAAGCCACGGCUAACUACGCG